UACGUAGGGGGCUAGCGUUGUCCGGAAUCAUUGGGCGUAAAGCGCGUGUAGGCGGCCCGAUAAGUCCGCUGUGAAAGUCCAGGGCUCAACCCUGGGAUGCCGGUGGAUACUGUCGGGCUCGAGUCCGGAAGAGGCGAGUGGAAUUCCUGGUGUAGCGGUGAAAUGACGCAGAUAUCAGGAGGAACACCAAUGGCGAAGGCAGCUCGCUGGGACGUGACUGACGCUGAUGCACGAAAGCUAGGGGAGCAAACAGG
rnacentral:rRNA from 1 species